GUCUAUGGCCAUGUUACCCUGAACGAGCUCAAUCCCGUCUGAUCUCGGAAGCUAAGCAGGGUUGGGCCUGGUUAGUACUUAGAUGGGAGACCACGUAGGAAGACCAGGUGCUGUAAGCA
rfam:Pteropus alecto contig45235, whole genome shotgun sequence.